GACGAACGCUGGCGGCGUGCUUAACACAUGCAAGUCGAACGGAAAGGCCCUGCUUUUGUGGGGUGCUCGAGUGGCGAACGGGUGAGUAACACGUGAGUAACCUGCCCUUGACUUUGGGAUAACUUCAGGAAACUGGGGCUAAUACCGGAUAGGAGCUCCUGCUGCAUGGUGGGGGUUGGAAAGUUUCGGCGGUUGGGGAUGGACUCGCGGCUUAUCAGCUUGUUGGUGGGGUAGUGGCUUACCAAGGCUUGGACGGGUAGCCGGCCUGAGAGGGUGACCGGCCACAUUGGGACUGAGAUACGGCCCAGACUCCUACGGGAGGCAGCAGUGGGGAAUAUUGCACAAUGGGCGGAAGCCUGAUGCAGCAACGCCGCGUGCGGGAUGACGGCCUUCGGGUUGUAUACCGCUUUCGCCUGUGACGAAGCGUGAGUGACGGUAAUGGGUAAAGAAGCACCGGCUAACUACGUG
rnacentral:rRNA from 1 species